rnacentral:tRNA from 1 species
GGUAAAAUAUAAAGCUUCAAACUUUAGUUUCUUAGUUCGAAUCUAAGUGCUUU